UCGGGUUUCAGCCGCCGCUCCUCCGCGCCCCGCCCGCGCCUGGCCCGCUCGCCGGCGCCGGGAGAGACCUCGUAACGGAACUGGGACGCCAGCGCUGCAUUGUGGGAGCUUUUAAAGCGGCGGGGAGCUCGGCGCGACCCUCGGGCCCACCGGGCCACGCUCGCCCGGCCCGCGACGCCCCCCCGCUGUCGCCUGGCCCGCGACGCACCGAGGCCUGAGGACCCGAAAGCCGGGCGCGGGGAGAUGACCGGUGGCUCGUGACGGUCCCACGGGCAAAAUCUUCCAUCGCCCGGGGCUGAGACUUGUCAAACUGCCCUCUACGGUCACCCGGAAAGUAGGAGGCUUUUUCUGCAGAGGGGAAAAAAAUCAAAAAGAGCCGUUCCAUCCCCCCUCCAAGGACUGGGUUUGAAUUGCUUUUCAUCUGCAGUGGCUGUGAUUCAGCGUCCCUCUUAGCAGCAGGCAAUGACAGAGGCAGGAGAGGGGAAAAAAAAAAAGAAAGAAAGAAAAAACACAGCAAAUGAAUCAAACGGACCAGGUAGCAGGCAAGAGUGUGGUUAUCGUUGGACCAGGAUUCAGGAUCUGACUGAGUAGCUGACUCUUAAUCCAGUUUGUGUUGAUCACCAGGAGGAUCUGGACCUCAGUAUUACCACAUCUAGAGGUGAUAUGCCAACUCCACCUUUGCCUUCCACCAUGUUUGGAAGCUCCCUGAGGCCUCACCAGGAGCAGAUGCUCGUCCCAUGCUUCCU
rnacentral:lncRNA from 10 species